rnacentral:rRNA from 1 species
AAUGAACGUUGGCGGCGUGGAUUAGGCAUGCAAGUCGCGCGACAAGGAACCUUCGGGUUCUGGAGGAGCGGCAAACGGGGUAGUAAGGCAUCGGAACGUACCCUCUUGUUGGGAAUAGCCGCGGGAAACUGCGAGUAAUGCCCAAUAAUCCCUACGGGGCAAAGGUCCGCCGCAGGAGGAGCGGCCGAUGUGAUACCAGCUAGUUGGUGAGGUAAUGGCUCACCAAGGCUUAGACGCCUAGGGGGUGUGAGAGCAUGGCCCCCACCACUGGGACUGAGAUACUGCCCAGACACCUACGGGUGGCUGCAGUCGAGAAUCUUCGGUCGAAUGGGCGCAAGCCUGACCGAGCAACGCCGCGUGCGGGAGUGAAGGCCCGUUC